GCCUUGGCCCCGGGGCUGUUAGGAGGCAGAGCCUCUGGGGAGAAGUCCCCAAACCGGAUUUACCCGUUCGUCGCAACUGUCCCUAGGAGGGCGGGCUGGGGUGUGGAGGCGGUGCCCUGCUGACUCUUGGGGAGAUAAGCCCGGGUCGCCCAGGCUGCAAAACGCUCGGCACCGCGGAAGCCGCGCGAGGCUCUCCCAGCUCGGUACGCAGGGGCCGGAGCGCCUGCUUCCCUGCGGAGCAGAGCGGCAGAGGGGCCCGGGGCUGCGUGGAAGGUCCGAGGGCUUCAGCCCGUGCGGGCAGCCGGUGCGGGGAAAGCCGAGGCGCAGCCAACUAGAAAGCUAGAGGCGGCCGAGGCCACGCGGAGUGGAGGCACCUGGAGGCCACUGGAGAAGUGGGAGGGGCUCCGGCGUGGCUCCACCCGCGACACUGGGAGCCCGGGCGGGCGCGCACGUGUGUAUACGGGUGCGUGGGCCCAUCCGGCGGCCCGGACUACAAGUUCCAGGGUGCCCAGCGGCGCUCCCGGGUUUUCUGGCUGCGCCGCCCGCUGCCUCCGAGCAGGUCGCCGCUGGCUGGCAGUCGCCACCCGGUCCCAGAGUAAAUAAGGGAGAGACACUCCCGAGCGCCGUAAAUAGAGUCCAAGUGGGCGGAGAGCCGUCCCGCGCCGCCCGCUCAUGUCUCUUCAGAGCCGACUGUCCGGCCGCCUGGUACAGCUGCGCGCGGCGGGGCAGCUGCUGGUCCCCCCGCGCCCCCGGCCCGGCCACUUGGCGGGUGCCACGCGGACCCGCAGCAGCACGUGCUGUCCCCCAGCGUUCCUGGGCGUGUUCGGCCGCAGCGCCCGGACCUCGGCGGGAGUUGGGGCGUGGGGGGCGGCGGCGGUGGGGCGGACAGCCGGGGUGCGCACUUGGGCCCCCCUGGCCAUGGCGGCGAAGGUGGACCUGAGCACCUCCACCGACUGGAAGGAGGCGAAAUCCUUUCUGAAGGGCCUGAGUGACAAGCAGCGGGAGGAACAUUACUUCUGCAAGGACUUUGUCAGGCUGAAGAAGAUCCCGACGUGGAAGGAGAUGGCGAAAGGGGUGGCUGUGAAGGUGGAGGAGCCCAGGUAUAAAAAGGACAAGCAGCUCAAUGAGAAGAUCUCCCUGUUCCGCGGCGACAUCACCAAGCUGGAGGUGGACGCCAUCGUCAACGCCGCCAACAGCUCCCUGCUCGGAGGCGGUGGCGUGGACGGCUGCAUUCACCGGGCCGCCGGCCCCCUGCUUACCGACGAGUGCCGGACCCUGCAGAGCUGUGAGACUGGCAAGGCCAAGAUCACCGGCGGCUAUCGGCUCCCGGCCAAGUACGUCAUCCACACGGUGGGACCCAUCGCCUACGGAGAGCCCAGCGCCAGCCAGGCUGCCGAGCUCCGCAGCUGCUACCUGAGCAGCCUGGACCUGCUGCUGGAGCACCGCCUCCGCUCGGCGGCGUUCCCCUGCAUCUCCACCGGCGUGUUUGGCUACCCCUGUGAGGCGGCGGCUGAGGUCGUGCUGGCAACCCUGCGAGAGUGGCUGGAGCAGCACAAGGACAAGGCGUGGCGGCCCGGCCCCGGCUGAGCAGCCCCUGGCGCAGGUGGACCGGCUGAUCAUCUGCGUGUUCCGCGAGAAGGACGAGGAUAUCUACCGGAGCCGGCUCCCCCACUACUUCCCCGUGGACCUGCCUUCGGGACCCCGCUCCCAGCUCUGAGAGGUCGCCAAAGCCUGCAGCCUGGCCUGGGCCCGGCCAGCCCUUCUUUCCCUCCGCGCCCCGCCCGAGGAGCCUAAUAAAGAUCACGCUGUGGCAGCUC